GGGCCCGUAGCUCAGCAUGGAUAGAGCGUCGGCCUUCGGAGCCGAAGGUCGGGGGUUCAAGUCCCCCCGGGCCCG
rnacentral:tRNA from 1 species